rnacentral:lncRNA from 1 species
GGUGGCUCAUACACCGGUGGUUUCUUAGGAGGUUCAUAUACUGGUGGCUUCUUCGGAGGUUCGUAAACCGGUGGUUUGGGCUCUGGCUUCUCUUUCUUCGGAGGUUCAUAAACUGGUGGUUUUGGUGGCUUAGGUUCAUAUACUGGUGGUUUUGGUGGCUUAGGUUCAUACACUGGAGGCUUCUUUGGAGGCUCAUAUACUGGUGGUUUGGGUUCUGGCUUCUCUUUCUUUGGAGGUUCAUAAACUGGUGGCUUUGGUGGCUUAGGCUCAUAAACUGGUGGCUUUGGUGGCUUAGGUUCAUAUACUGGUGGUUUCUUUGGAGGCUCAUACACCGGAGGCUUCUUUGGAGGCUCAUAAACUGGUGGCUUUGGUGGCUUAGGUUCAUAAACUGGUGGCUUAGGUUCAUAUACUGGUGGCUUUGGUGGCUUAGGCUCAUAAACUGGUGGCUUUGGUGGCUUAGGUUCAUAAACUGGCGGUUUCUUUGGAGGCUCAUACACCGGAGGCUUCUUUGGAGGCUCAUAUACUGGUGGUUUGGGUUCUGGCUUUGGAGGCUUAGGUUCAUAUACUGGUGGUUUCUUUGGAGGCUCAUAAACUGGUGGCUUUGGUGGCUUAGGCUCAUAAACUGGUGGCUUUGGAGGCUUAGGUUCAUAAACUGGCGGUUUCUUUGGAGGCUCAUACACCGGUGGUUUCUUGGGAGGUUCAUAAACUGGUGGUUUGGGUUCUGGCUUUUCCUUCUUUGGAGGUUCGUAAACCGGUGGCUUGGGCUCCGGCUUCUCCUUCUUUGGGGGUUCAUAGACAGGGGGUUGGGGUUCUGGCUUCUUUGGAGGUUCGUAAACUGGUGGUG